CCUACGGGUGGCUGCAGUGAGGAAUAUUGGUCAAUGGGCGCGAGCCUGAACCAGCCAAGUAGCGUGAAGGAUGACUGCCCUACGGGUUGUAAACUUCUUUUAUAAGGGAAUAAAGUGAGACACGUGUGCCUUUUUGUAUGUACUUUAUGAAUUAGGAUCGGCUAACCCCGGGCCAGCAGCCGCGGUAAUACGGAGGAUCCGAGCGUUAUCCGGAAUUAUUGGGUUUAAAGGGAGCGUAGAUGGGUUGUUAAGUCAGUUGUGAAAGUUUGCGGCUCAACCGUAAAAUUGCAAUUGAUACUGGCAGCCUUGAGUACAGUUGAGGUAGGCGGAAUUCGUGGUGUAGCGGUGAAAUGCUUAGAUAUCACGAAGAACUCCGAUUGCGAAGGCAGCUUACUAAGCUGCCACUGACAUUGAUGCACGAAAGUGUGGGUAGCAAACAGGAUUAGAUACCCGUGUAGUC
rnacentral:rRNA from 1 species